rnacentral:rRNA from 1 species
AUUGAACGCUGGCGGCAUGCCUAACACAUGCAAGUCGAGCGAGCGGCGGACGGGUGAGUAAUGUAUGGGGAUCUGCCCGAUAGAGGGGGAUAACUACUGGAAACGGUGGCUAAUACCGCAUACUAUCGGAUGUGCCCAUAUGGGAUUAGCUAGUAGGUGGGGUAAAGGCUCACCUAGGCGACGAUCCCUAGCUGGUCUGAGAGGAUUACCAGCCACACAGGAACUGAGAAACGGCCCAGACGCCUACGGGAGGCAGCAGUGGGGAAUAUUGCACAAUGGGCGCAAGCCUGAUGCAGCCAGGCCGCGUGUAUGAAGAAGGCCUUAGGGUUGUAAAGUACUUUCAGCGCGGAGGCGUUACCCGCAGAAGAAGCACCGGCUAACUCCGUGCCAGCAGCCGCGGUAAUUC